rnacentral:rRNA from 1 species
UGGGGAAUAUUGGACAAUGGGCGCAAGCCUGAUCCAGCAAUACCGCGUGUGUGAAGAAGGCCUGCGGGUUGUAAAGCACUUUCAGUGGGGAAGAAGAGGCCUUUUCUAAUAAAGAAGGCGGAUGACAUUACCCACAGAAGAAGCACCGGCUAACUCUGUGCCAGCAGCCGCGGUAAUACAGAGGGUGCGAGCGUUAAUCGGAAUUACUGGGCGUAAAGGGUGCGUAGGUGGUCUGUCAAGUCAGAUGUGAAAACCCUGGGCUUAACCUGGGAACGGCAUUUGAAACUAGCAGACUCGAGUGCAGGAGAGGGAAGUGGAAUUUCCGGUGUAGCGGUGAAAUGCGUAGAUAUCGGAAGGAACACCAGUGGCGAGGCGACUUCCUGGCCUGCAACUGACACUGAGGCACGAAAGCGUGGGGAGCAAACAGGAUUAGAUACCCUGGUAGUCCACGCCGUAACGAUGAGAACUAGAUGGU